rnacentral:lncRNA from 1 species
UGAGAUGUCCAACAGGUGGUGGUGGAGAUGCUUCCAUCUCCUCCAGCCUGGAGUCCAGCUGGCCAGCUGGGCCCCCACUGUGGGCCUCUCCUUCAGUCCAGCCUCCUGCGCAGCCAGGAGGCCUUCCCCGGGCCCAGCUUCCAUCCCUCCUCCCUUCAGCCGUGUGGCUGCGGCGUUGCUUCCUGAGUAGAGGAGGCCUGGGCCCAUGGUCCCCAUGGACCCUUCUGGCUCUAACAUUCUACAGCUGUGUGCUUCGUGGGCUUAUGGUGCCUCAGAAUCAAAGUCAGGCAUUCGAGGACCCCCGGGGGGGUUAGCAGUCAUGAUGCCUUUUAUUUGAAAAGUGCUUCAUAAUCCUCAGGGACACCCCCUCCACAUCUGUCCCAAGCUGCCUGCCUGGCCCCACCUCCUUGAGCACAGGUCCUGGUCCUACUGCCUUGAUAAACCCACUGCUGGUGACAUGCGUCCCAUGCUUGCUCUGCCGCUGAGCUGCUGUCCUGGGGCUCCUCCACCCCUUGGCAUUCAUCACACACUGGCUUGAAUCAAUAGAUAGCUUUCUUCUCUUGGAAUAAAUAUCUUUCUGGCUGGGUGCAGUGGCUCACGCCUAUAAUCCCAACACUUUGGGAGGCCAAGGAGGAUGGGUUACAUGAGUUCAGGAGUUCGAGAGAGACCAGCCUCUCCAACAUGGUGAAACUCAGUCUCUACUAAAAAUACAAAAAAUUAGCCGGUUGUGGGGAUGCACACCUGUAAUCCCAGCUUCUCAGGAGGCUGAAGCACGGGAAUCACUUGAACCUGGGAGAUGGAGGCUGCAAUGAGCCGAGAUCGCGCCACUGUACUCCAGCCUGGGCAACAGAGAAGAAUUAUGCAUUCAGAGGAAGUUGCAAAAAAUAGCACAGAGACUUCUAUUUCUGGAAAGAUGGAGAAGAUAUACUUUUCCCUAUUUCUCCCGCUAGGUACAAUCCCAAACCCCAGACAUUAAAUAUGAAACAAACAUAAGAAUAUUCUGAGAGAAGGCCGGGUGAAGUGGCUCAUGCCUAUAAUCCCAGCACUUUGGGAGGCCAAGGCGGGUGGAUCAUUUGAGGUCAGGAGUUUCAGACCAACCUGGCCAACAUGGUGAAAUCCUGUCUCUACUAAAAAUACCAAAAAAUUAUCCAGGCAUGGUAGCGCAUGCCUGUAAUCUCAGCUCCUCAGGAGGCUGAAGCAAGAGAAUCGCUUGAACCCAGAAGGCGGAGGUUGCAGUGAGCUGAGAUCAUGCCACUGCACUCCAGCAUGGGUGACAGAGGGAGACUCCAUCUAAAAAGAAAAAAAGAAAAAAGAAAAUCCUAAGAAGGCAAAUCGACUAGGGACCACAGGACCCAGGGAGCCAGCAUGAUGGUGGGCUCUCUGGGUCUUCCUUCUGCCUUGUAUAUAUAUUAUGAAGUUGGAGCUAGGGGAGCUGGCAUCUAGAAAUGCCAAGAGGCCCAGACAAAAACAAGUCCCACCAAAAGCCUGUUCUCUCUCACCAAAGGACUAGCAGAGGGGCAGUCCAGCAAGACAGAAAACUUAGACAAUAACUGCUCUAGCUAAACACCACAGAAAGAAAACAUCACCCCACCCACACCCACGAGAGGCUGUAAUGAGGUGCCCCACCAUCCUCAGUGAGCUGGAACUGGAGAAGGUCAGGUGGAGAGCCAGGUCUUUCAUCCCUGCCAGCUAGUGAUGAGGCUCCCCCAACUCAUGGUGUCAGUGGAGACACACAGAGAGUCUGGGCUUCCACCCCCACCUGGCAUUAGCAAGGCAUCCCUCCUCAUCUGCAAUGGGGCGGUACCCUAGGAGGCCUAGCAGAGAGCCAGGACUCUUUAUGAUGGCCCAGCGGUAACGAGGCCACUCCUUCCCGCCAUCCCAAGGCUUCAGAUGGGAAGAAGUGAUAAGGCAUUUUCAUUUCACCCACCAGGAAAGUAUCAGUGGAGGUUAGCAGGGAGCCUGAACUCCCUCCCUGAUCCAGCAGCAAUGAGGAGCGCAGCACCCUCAACAUUCAGGUGUCAACAAAGGCUAAGUGAGAAACUUGGACUUCUGCCACCAUCUGGCAGUAAUAAGGCAGUGCCCCUUAGGUUCCCCUGCCUGAACAGUGUCAGAGAAAGUCAGCUGAAACAGAAGGUUUAAGUAAUAUCCAGAAUCUUGUUUGUUUUG